rnacentral:tRNA from 1 species
AGAGCUGUGGCAUAGUGGGUAAAGCCACCAUUUACAGUGGGCAUCCCAUACAGACGUGGGUUCAAAUCCCAGCUGCUCUG